UAAAACGUUCAUAUAGCAGUGAACAAGUUAAUCAAAAGAAAUGCUAUUUAAGA
rnacentral:ncRNA from 1 species